rnacentral:rRNA from 1 species
ACGCUCGACACCUACGGGAGGCAGCAGUGGGGAAUAUUGCACAAUGGGGGAAACCCUGAUGCAGCAACGCCGCGUGAAGGAAGACGGUUUUCGGAUUGUAAACUUCUGUUCUUUUAGNGAAGAUAGUGACGGUAGCUAAGGAGCAAGCCACGGCUAACUACGUGCCGGCAGCAGCGGUAAUCUGAGCGGGCUGGCAAGGC